AAUCACACCCACCAACCCAUAUCAUGGCAUAUCAACAAUAUUCAUUUUCAAGAAUUGAUCGAGAGGAAUGGUCCCAUAGUUAUCUUCAAGCUACUAGCGAAUUGUAGGCUUGUGACUUGCAAUGUGAAGAACCUGCUAUAGUAAAGGACAGUGUAUUUACCAAUUAACUGCAGUACACAUCGGCUAAAUUAAACCAGCUGUUGAUAAUCAUGUACAUGUGCACCUGUAGCAUGCAGGUGUUUAAAUAGCUGGUUUCUACAACAGCAAAUCUGCUCUGAUUGAAUACUGUUUUUAAGUGUGCAUGAACACCUAGGCAACAUGCCUCCACUUUAUACAAAAAUGAAUGGUUAUAUUCUUUUUACGCACUUUCUGCAUUAAACUGUGCUGCUCCAACUCCCUGCACUUAUUUAUGGUUUAUGCUGCGUUCACACUGUAGUCAAUGGGAUAUUUACAAUUUUUUUUAAUAUGUCAAAUACAGGUAAUGGAUACUCACACACAACCCAACCCCCAAAUGCAGAUGCAAAAACAGACACAAAUGUGCCGGGAGUGUUGACAGUUUAACAUCACCUAUAUCUCUACAUGGAAAUUUUAGUCGCUUCUAUUUUUUUUUCAAUGAAUUACUACAUGUACUUAUAUCAAUCACCAAAAUUUAAUAAUUUCACAACUGUGAUUACAGAAACAACACGACACCCAAAUCAGCAGUCAAAAUCUGAAUUUUGUUGAAAAAAAAAAAAAAAGCUGUUACAUUUGUAUUUGCCGUUGAAGUCGACUAGUUCACAAGCGAGAAAUUGUUCUCUACAAUGAAUAUUAGAAGUGGACUCUCCACAUAUUCUGACAAACAAUUUCGGACAAACGGAGAACAGCAAAAACAGUUCCACAGACCACAUCAAUAGCUUGUGCAAACAAAAUAAUGACCUGAAGACUAUUCCGCUAUGGUAUCGACCGAUAUAUAGUUUCUUAUAACAAAUAUCAUUCUGUAUUUUCUCUGCCGUCAGCUGAAGUUGUCCAGAUUAAAUAGAUGCUGCCAUGCAGGGGAACUCGUUAAGAAGCCUAGGUUAUUAUAAUUAAUGAAAAAAAAAAAGUUUAAGGCUUUUGUUUCCAUAGCAACUUCUUCAAAGUAAAGGCAAGAAUUCCACACAGAGAAAACGG